CUUCUCUGCAUGACUGUGGGCACUGAGCAGGAAGCCGAGGAGGGGAGCAGUGUAGCGCCACAUGGCUGCACUAGGUAUAUAUUACUGCUGAGAGAAGUUAUCACCAGAGCAGGGGUGAAAGGAAAAUGAGUCGCCGAGAACUUAGCAUUCUUCUGGAGGACCAGAGACAGUGGAUGAGGACACUUGGAGAUCUUGAUGAACUUUCUCCUAUCAUAUAUGAGGAGAGGCUGAGGUCAGGGCGCCGUCAGAAUGCAGAAUUGAGAGUUCGAUGGCAAAAUUCUGGACGUAUAGGAGGACAAAGGUCUACUCGGCCGAGAGAAAAUAAUGUUCGACACAGGAGCCAAUCUCCGCAGCAACUUACUAGGGAGCGUUCACAAACAAUGAGAAGACAGCCUAUGCUACAUUCUGCGUUAUCUGAACGCAUGAUAGCAGAGAGACCAGGCCAAAACCCUAUCGCUGGCCCAAGUCGGUUUCUCCCAAACCCCAUCUCUGCGCCAAGUCAGCCUAUCCCUAACCCCAGCCCUGGGCCAAGUCAGCCUCUCCCAAACCCCAGCCCUGGGCAGAAUCUCUCAGCUGGCCAUUGGGCACAAUUAUUUAUGAGACUCCCAUUUCGCUAUGUCACCGAGAGUGAAAACAAGGAAUCCUGCAGAAUUUGUAUAGUGGAUUAUGAGAAUGGGGAGCGGGUUACGGUAUUACCUUGCAGGCACGUAUUCCAUCCCCAUUGCAUUUCAGAAUGGAUACAAAUAAGCCCCAGUUGUCCUCUGUGCCGUAGGCCGUCCUUUCAGCAAAGAACAUGGAUAAACAUGUGUCAUAUCUUGUGAGUUCCAAAGGAAAUUUUGCAGUAAAUAUUGUCAUUCCACCAGGCUGAUAUCAGUUAAAAGGAGCUUCCUGAUAUUCCAACAUUUCAUCAGCAAUAUGUUCUGUGAUUGCACAGACCAGUAUGAUGUAAUCUACUGAUAUUUUGGGGUGCAGUGACCUGUUUACUUGUAAGAUUAGGUUAGUGAAGACUAGGCUGCACGUGAUAAGGCAGUGUCAUGUUGUAAGGAGGUGAAUGGAGGCAGCAGAAAGACAGACAAAUUUAGCUAUUGGAAGGAGCAGGAUUGGAAUGUGGAAAAAUAUAACUAUCCUUAAACAGAAACACUCAACCAUUUAGCAUCAGUUCUACAGUGUGGUGAGUGGUUGUUGUUUUAGAGCAGCCCAUCCAUUGGAGUUUGGGACUCCUUCUGAACUAAUCUGCAUGUCUUUCCAUCCUGUGAGUCUUGUAACUUGGUGGACCUGCACUGUACUGGACUCACUACUACUACAGCAUACCUCCCAACAUGACCCUCUCCAGGAGGGACACAAUGCUCUGCUCCUGGACUUCCCACUUAAUUUAGGAUUGCCAUCACCUGUGCUGAAACACCUUUCUUAUCCAUUACCUGUUCAACACAGGAGCCGGCAAUCAUAAAUGAAGAGAAAAGUCCAGAAGCAGAGCAUUGUGUCCCUCCUGGAGAGGGUCAUGUUGGGAGGUAUGCUACAGGGAUGGGCAAAGCACCGGAAAUCAAGGAUCCCUGAGUAAAGGUGGUUGCAAACUUGUGAUCUAACGUGUUAAUAGUCAAUGUUUCUGUUGAAGACAACUGCCAUUUUUAUUCCAGUGUAUUUCUUUUACAAUAAAAGUAAUGUUCUGUUUCA